CGGGUUGUAAAGCUCUUUCGAUUGAGAAGAAGGGUGUGACGGUAAAUAAUCGUUACAUUUGACGGUAUCAGAAGAAGAAGCACCGGCUAACUUCGUGC
rnacentral:rRNA from 1 species